rnacentral:tRNA from 1 species
GGAAGAGUGAGCAGAAUGGUAUUGCAACCGCCUUGAAAGCGGUCUCACCCUUGACGGGGUGUGCGGGUUCGAAUCCUGUCUCUUCCU